CAAUAGCGUAUAUUAAAGUUGUUGCAGUUAAAAAGCUCGUAGUUGAAUUUUUGCUUGCCGCCGAUGUCGGAACUUCCGUACGUUCGGCGGCGUGCAUCCUUGGGUGGAACCUGUGUGGCAUUAGGUUGUCGUGCAGGGGAUGCUCAUCGUUUACUGUGAAAAAAUUAGAGUGUUCAAAGCAGGCUUACGCCGUUGAAUAUAUUAGCAUGGAAUAAUAAGAUAGGACCUUGGUACUAUUUUGUUGGUUUGCGCACCAAAGUAAUGAUUAAUAGGGACAGUUGGGGGUAUUCGUAUUCCGUUGUCAGAGGUGAAAUUCUUGGAUUUACGGAAGACGUACUACUGCGAAAGCAUUUACCAAGGAUGUUUUCAUUAA
rnacentral:rRNA from 1 species